rnacentral:rRNA from 1 species
CGCAACGCGGCUUACCAUGCAAGUCGAGGGGUAACAUUACAGCUUGCUGUAGAUGACGACCGGCGCACGGGUGCGUAACGCGUAUACAAUUUGCCUUAUACUGGAGAAUAGCCCUGAGAAAUUGGGAUUAAUGCUCCAUAGUAUCUUAAAACGGCCUCGUUUAAAGAUUAAAGCUCCGGCGGUAUAAGAUGAGUAUGCGUCCUAUUAGUUUGUUGGUGAGGUAACGGCUCACCAAGACUACGAUAGGUAGGGGUCCUGAGAGGGAGAUCCCCCACACUGGUACUGAGACACGGACCAGACUCCUACGGGAGGCAGCAGUGAGGAAUAUUGGGCAAUGGAGGCAACUCUGACCCAGCCAUGCCGCGUGAAGGAAGACGGCCCUAUGGGUUGUAAACUUCUUUUAUACAGGAAGAAACGCAGAUACGUGUAUCUGUUUGACGGUACUGUACGAAUAAGGACCGGCUAACUCCGUGCCAGCAGCCGCGGUAAUACGGAGGGUCCAAGCGUUAUCCGGAAUCAUUGGGUUUAAAGGGUCCGUAGGCGGAUAAUUAAGUCAGAGGUGAAAGCCCACAGCUCAACUGUGGAACUGCCUUUGAUACUGGUUAUCUUGAGUUAUAGUGAAGUAGAUAGAAUAUUUUAGUGUAGCGGUGAAAAGCCUAAAUAUUUUCUAAAAAUACCCCCUGGGGGGGGGGGGGGCUCCCAACAAUAUACUGACCCCUCAUGGACGAAAAAAUGGGGGGGCGAACAAGAUUAUAUACCCCUGGUAGUCCACCCCCCCACACGAUGGAUACUAGAUUGUUGGUCUGCUUUGCGUAUCAGUGACCAAGCGAAAGUGAAUAAGUAUCCCACCCUGGCGUAGUACUGGUCGGCGAGAUUGAAUACUCAACUGGAAGUUGACUG